UCAGAUCCAGGCAUAACAUCCAUCAGGGUGCAUUGCGGCAGAUAUUCUGCUCUCCUGAAAGUCGAUCUGCGGGAGGCGAGGGGAUUUGCCAGUCUGAAAGAUGACGCGUAUAACUAAAAAGGCCGCAUUGCGGCCUUUUUUCUUUCAAGUAUGGAAUACCCACCGUAAAAUCACGCUACCUCUUUUCAGCUGAAUGGAUAAC
rfam:Salmonella enterica subsp. arizonae serovar 62:z4,z23:--, complete genome.